rnacentral:rRNA from 1 species
GACGUAGGGCGCGAGCGUUGUCCGGAUUUAUUGGGCGUAAAGAGCGUGUAGGCGGCCUGAAAGGUCAGCUGUGAAAACUCGAGGCUCAACCUCGAGACGUCGGUUGAAACCAUCUGGCUAGAGUCCGGAAGAGGAGUGUGGAAUUCCUGGUGUAGCGGUGAAAUGCGCAGAUAUCAGGAGGAACACCAAUUGCGAAGGCAGCUCGCUGGGACGUUACUGACGCUGAGACGCGAAAGCGUGGGGAGCAAACAGG